CUGACGCCAGCAGCGGAGAUGAAGGUACCUACCUGCGGGGCCAGGUCCGAGGUCGAGGCCAUGGCGUCGCGCGUCUACGAGCUGCUGGCGAGGUUAUUUCUGGCUGAGAGCUCUGCCUCCCCAGCAUCCGCCGCCUCCUCCGCCCGUGCUGUCUUUCCGGGAGCGCUGCCCGAUGGCCGUUGUAGUCCCUGCCCACGUGGCCUGGUGGGAAACCCCAGCAACUCCAAGGAUCCGCAGUCAUGAAGAUGCCAAUGGAGAAACCGAACUUUCCUGUGCCGCUUCAACAGUUAUGAAGACGCUACAUGAACUAUCAAGUCCCAGGUUAUCCAUUGAUAGAGGGCCUUUCAGCAGAUGCAGAUUGCUUCAUUUCCUGGAUUGAAAACAUUCUGCUCUUUCUGCUUAGAUAUUUGAGCAGUUGAAACAGGUUACAAGUAAAGCAAAGGUGAAAAAUGAAGAGCAGAUGGCACAGAAGUGGGAGUCAGGAAGCCUCAUUCUAAUCCUCACUUGCCUGGUGUGACCAUGAACCAAGGCACUUACCUUCUGUGCCUAUUGAUUUACUUGUUCUCUCUCCCCCUUAGAUUGAGACCCCUGGGUGGGAUUGGGACUGAUUAUCUUGUGAUUCACAAAUGUCACGUUACUUGUGUUGAUCUCAGAUCUGGACAAAUGCAGUCAGAUGUGCUACAAAAUAUUCUAGAUAUAUUGACAAAUCACUUAGGACCUUUUCAAAAGUUACUGAAGUCUUCUGUCCAUUGGAUAGGGCCUCUCAAGUAGAGGCUACGUGAUAGGUUAUACAGACAAACUAUAGUAAACCCUGGCUUCGUAUUACACUUCCAACUAUAUCAUAACAAGCUCCCCUUCAAAGAGGGGUGACCAGAUAUGUACCUGGAAUUUUGGGAAUGCCUCCUAAUUUAAAAAGAAAAGUUGAAAAAUGUUACAGCUUACUUGUAAGUGGGUUCAGUUUACUGACUGAUUGCAAGGGAAAGACCAAAUCUAAUUCACAAUAAAGUAGUUUGUUUUACUUUG